UUAUCUUUUUUAUGUAAUACCUUUAAUUUCCAAAUUAUCUCUUAAUUUGUGAAUGGUAGAGAAUAUGGUUGAGCUCACCACACCACCGAUUUUAGAGGUAUUUUGACACCCCCUUCUUGAGGUCAACCAGAUUCGACAGCCAAGGUCCCUGCAGGACCCCAGAACAGUCCAUCCAGAGUUUUCAGUUAACCAUAUGAAUCAAACCCUUAAGAUUGUGACUCCCCACUCAAAACAAUUGACCUUACCCUAGGGAAAUUAAUGUUACAUGAUUAUAAAAUUGAAGAGAAAAAAUCUUGGCAGGAAAAAAAAUAAAAAAA